rnacentral:tmRNA from 1 species
GGAUGCCUGUAAACCUGAAGUGAUUGUCAUGCAGAACAGGAUCGCCGCGUAGUACGUUGUGGACAAAGCGGCUAAAACUUACACAACUCGUCCAAAGCACCCUGCCCGUCGGGCGGCUGCGGAUUAACUCAAUAGACACGGCUAAGCAUGUAGUACCGACAGUGGAGAACUGGCGGACGGGGGUUCAAAUCCCCCCGGCUCCACCA